AUGCAUCAGAGAAGCAGGAGCACCAGGAUGGAGUCACACCUUCAGGUCUUCAUGUUCCUGCUCCUCUGGAUGUCUGGUGCCCAGGGGAACAUUGUGAUGACCCAGUCUCCCAAAGUCAUGUCAACAUCUGUAGGAGACAGGAUCACCCUAAGCUGCAAGUCCAGUCAGAAUGUGGAUAACUAUGUAGCUUGGUACCAACAGAAAUCAGGGCAGCCUCCUAAAGUGCUAAUCUCCUAUGCAUCCAAUCAACACACUGGGGUCCCUGUUCGUUUCACAGGGAGUGGAUCUGGGACAGAUUUCACUCUCAGCAUCAGCAGUGUGCAGGCUGAAGACCUGGCAGUUUACUACUGUCAGCAGCAUUAUGACUAUCCUCCCACAGUGCUUCAGCUUCCAUCACAAACAUCCUUGAGAGUCUCACCACCUGCCUGCAGCAUUCACAGCCGUUGGCUUGCACACUUCCCCCUUCUGCCUCAGAUCUGUUAUGCAUGA